rnacentral:rRNA from 1 species
AGAAUCAACGCUGGCGGCGUGCCUAACACAUGCAAGUCGAACGAGAAAGUGGAGCAAUCCAUGAGUACAGUGGCGACCGGGUGAGUAACACGUGACUACCUACCCUUGAGUGGGGGAUAACCGUCGGGAAACCGAGGCUAAUACCGCAUAAUAUCGAGAGAUCAAAGGAGCAAUUCGCUUUUGGAGGGGUCGCGGCUGAUUAGCUAGUUGGCGGGGUAAUGGCCCACAAGGCGAAGAUCGGUA